UACGUAGGGGGCAAGCGUUGUCCGGAAUUAUUGGGCGUAAAGAGCGUGUAGGCUGUUCGAUAAGUCUGCUGUAAAAGUCGGGGGCUCAACCCCCGAAAGCCGGUGGAUACUAUUGGACUAGAGUGCGGAAGAGGCGAGUGGAAUUCCUGGUGUAGCGGUGAAAUGCGCAGAUAUCAGGAGGAACACCACCUGCGAAGGCAGCUCGCUGGGACGCAACUGACGCUGAGACGCGAAAGCGUGGGGAGCAAACAGG
rnacentral:rRNA from 1 species